UACAGAGGGUGCGAGCGUUGUUCGGAAUUAUUGGGCGUAAAGGGCGCGUAGGCGGUGCGGUAAGUCACCUGUGAAAUCUCCUGGCUCAACUGGGAGCUUGCAGGCGAAACUGCCGUGCUGGAGUGUGGGAGAGGUGCGUGGAAUUCCUGGUGUAGCGGUGAAAUGCGUAGAUAUCAGGAGGAACACCUGUGGCGAAAGCGGCGCACUGGACCACAACUGACGCUGAGGCGCGAAAGCGUGGGGAGCGAUCCGG
rnacentral:rRNA from 1 species